rnacentral:rRNA from 1 species
GACGAACGCUGGCGGCGUGCUUAACACAUGCAAGUCGUACGACAGCAUCUCUUCGGGGGUGUAUGGAGUGGCGAACGGGUGAGUAACACGUAAGUAACCUGCCCUUUUCUUUGGGAUAACUCGCGGGAACGUGGGCUAAUACCGAAUAUUCACAUAUGUCUGCAUGGGGUNUGUGUGGAAAGGCUUUUAGCCGGUAAGGGAUGGGCUUGCGGCCUAUCAGUUUGUUGGUGGGGUGAUGGCCUACC